rnacentral:rRNA from 1 species
GAUGAACGCUGGCGGCGUGCCUAAUACAUGCAAGUCGAACGCUGGAAAUCUAGCUUGCUAGAUUGAAGGAGUGGCGAACGGGUGAGUAAUACAUAAGCAACCUACCCACGAAGACUGGGAUAAUCUCUGGAAACGGGGACUAAUACCGGAUAGGUAAUCGGAAGGCAUCUUCUGAUUAUUAAAGGUUAAAAACACUGGUGGAUGGGCUUAUGGCGCAUUAGUUAGUUGGUGAGGUAACGGCCCACCAAGACGAUGAUGCGUAGCCGGCCUGAGAGGGUGAACGGCCACAUGGGGACUGAGGCACGGCCCAGACGACUACGGGAGGCAGCAGUAGGGAAUGUUCAGCAAUGGGGGAAAACCUGAGCGAGCAACGCAGCGUGAGUGAUGACGGCCUUCGGGGUGUAAAGCUCUGUUGUAAGGGAAGAACGGUAGAUAGAGAAGAUCUAAAUGACGGUACCUUACCAGAAAGCCACGGCUAACUACGUG